AUUGAACGCUGGCGGCAGGCUUAACACAUGCAAGUCGAGCGGGGUGAUGGUGCUUGCACUAUCACUUAGCGGCGGACGGGUGAGUAAUGCUUAGGAAUCUGCCUAUUAGUGGGGGACAACAUCUCGAAAGGGAUGCUAAUACCGCAUACGUCCUACGGGAGAAAGCAGGGGAUCACUUGUGACCUUGCGCUAAUAGAUGAGCCUAAGUCGGAUUAGCUAGUUGGUGGGGUAAAGGCCUACCAAGGCGACGAUCUGUAGCGGGUCUGAGAGGAUGAUCCGCCACACUGGGACUGAGACACGGCCCAGACUCCUACGGGAGGCAGCAGUGGGGAAUAUUGGACAAUGGGGGGAACCCUGAUCCAGCCAUGCCGCGUGUGUGAAGAAGGCCUUAUGGUUGUAAAGCACUUUAAGCGAGGAGGAGGCUCUUUUGGUUAAUACCAAGAUGAGUGGACGUUACUCGCAGAAUAAGCACCGGCUAACUCUGUGCCAGCCGCCGCAGUAA
rnacentral:rRNA from 1 species